rnacentral:rRNA from 1 species
UACAGAGGUGGCAAGCGUUGUUCGGAAUUACUGGGCGUAAAGGGCGAGUAGGCGGCCUUCUAAGUCAGACGUGAAAUCCCCCGGCUUAACCUGGGAACUGCGUCUGAUACUGGGAGGCUAGAGUAUGGGAGAGGAAGGUAGAAUUCCAGGUGUAGCGGUGAAAUGCGUAGAUAUCUGGAGGAACACCGGUGGCGAAGGCGACAUCCUGGACCGACACUGACGCUGAGGCGCGAAAGCUAGGGGAGCAAACGGG